rnacentral:rRNA from 1 species
UGGGGAAUUUUGGACAAUGGGCGAAAGCCUGAUCCAGCAAUGCCGCGUGUGUGAAGAAGGCCUUCGGGUUGUAAAGCACUUUUGUCCGGAAAGAAAUCCUUGGCUCUAAUACAGUCGGGGGGAUGACGGUACCGGAAGAAUAAGCACCGGCUAACUACGUGCCAGCAGCCGCGGUAAUACGUAGGGUGCAAGCGUUAAUCGGAAUUACUGGGCGUAAAGCGUGCGCAGGCGGUUUGCUAAGACCGAUGUGAAAUCCCCGGGCUCAACCUGGGAACUGCAUUGGUGACUGGCAGGCUAGAGUAUGGCAGAGGGGGGUAGAAUUCCACGUGUAGCAGUGAAAUGCGUAGAGAUGUGGAGGAAUACCGAUGGCGAAGGCAGCCCCCCUGGGCCAAUACUGACGCUCAUGCACGAAAGCGUGGGGAGCAAACAGGAUUAGAUACCCUGGUAGUCCACGCCCUAAACGAUGUCAACUAGUUGUUGGGGAUUCAUUUCCUAGUAACGUAGCUAACGCGUGAAGUUGACCGCCU